ACCAGGGUGGCUCAGUUGGUUGAGCGUCUGAUUUCAGCUCAGGUCACGAACUCAUGGUUCGUGGGUUCGAGUCCCGCGUCGGGCU
rnacentral:tRNA from 1 species